UUUUUGUAAUAGGGCCGGCUCUUUAGCUGCCCACUUUCCAAAGCAGUGUUUAGGUUAACAUAGACACCGUUGAAUUUUAAAUUUUUAACUAUAUACCUAGGACCUGAGUUUACUUAAUACUUAUAGGCGUUUGUGUUUUUGGGCUAGGAACUACGCUAAUGGUCUAUUGUAAACUAGUAAAAUACCCCCUGUUUGGGACUUGUAUAGGCAGUACAUCAUACACAUUCUUAUCAAUGUCUGGAUAUGUCAAUAAUAAUUAUUACUGAUUAGUGGCUAGACAUUUGGUUUACAGACAUUUUGUAAUUUCACACAAAUACAUAAUGUAUUAUAUCAUGGUUUUCAAAACUGACAUCAUAUAAUAAUAUGAUGUAAGUACCUACGAGGAACUAGGAAGUCCAGCAAAUGUAUUGACAAUUUUUGAUAAGUCUAUUUUAUUUAAGACAAUUCUACAGAACAAGUAUACAUUAUAAAUAUUGCAAUUCAAGUAAUAUAUUGCGGAACCAGUAUCCAAUUUUAAUAGCACUGAGCAUCUGGACAUAUUUAAAUUUCAAAGAACACAUAACAAGUUUGGAAAUUCAGUGUUCUGACAAUUGGGUGUGUUUCAUUUUGGGACAUUGCUGUCAGCAAAAGAGGGUUUCCAAGUUCCAGAUUAAAUAGGAUAUUAUGGACUACUCAAUUAUGUUUUCUUCAGUUCAUACAUAUAUUUUGUCAUUACCAGUUUCGGAUAGAUGAAAUUUCACAACUGAAUAAUGAUUAAUUUUAAUUUUUGAAAUGAAUUAUUAUUGCGAGGAAUGAAACAUUAAAUUAUUGUUAAGAUUGUAAGAAACAAACUAUUGUUUAUAAAUUAAGUUAAGUUGUACUUUUGUAAACGUUUACAGUCAACUUUUGACUUAGAACAAUCUUGUGUUCACUGAAAUUAGCUUAUCUUGAGUUGAUUAUAUUCAUUAACAUGCCCACAAUUGCAAAUCUUAGUGUUAACUCCACCAUUGACGGUCCUCAGUCCGUAUAAAAAGGGAGGAAGGGCGCUUAAGACGUUUUUCUUUUUUAGUUGAAGUAUUAAGAAUUAAUCGUGUUUCUCUUGGU